rnacentral:tRNA from 1 species
UCCCUGGUGGCUUAGAUGGUAAAGAGUCUACCUGCCAUGUGGUAGACCCAGGUUCAAUCCCUGGGUAGAGAA